UUCAGGGAGUCUAUGAUCUCUGCCGCG
rnacentral:sRNA from 1 species